rnacentral:lncRNA from 1 species
AGAAAUUUACCAAUGGAAUUUAAUAAGAUAAUAACAGAGAGUUCAAAACAUCUCAAUUUAUUACGAUCAGAUAGAUCAAAAGCAGACAUACAUAUCUGGUAGAACAGAUGAAAGAGAUACAACUACAGCCACAGCUUGGAGAUAGCAUCUCCAAUAUUUAUUACAAUGCGGUAGAUAAGUAGACAUCCAAAGCUAAUUUGGAAU